CCAAGGAAGUUUUCUCAAUAUCACUUCUCGAAUUACCCCCAUCUACCACAAUAUUUGUGUAUGGGGGAACUUGUAUUACUUUACCCCAACAACAAGUAUUUAGGUACAGAAGGAGUACAUCAUAGUUGGACAUGCAAAUGUACAAAUAUUUCUACUAGAGUGGAAUGACUAUCUGUAACUGCUCAUCAAGAUAUUAAAGGAUAGGCGGUCGGCCAUCACCAACAUGUUGGGCUAGAGUCACGAGUGCAUUUGACCUGGAGGUGGACACACU
rnacentral:lncRNA from 1 species